AAUUUCAGCUGAAAAAGUCAUGAACAUAAAAGUUGUAGAACUCAUCAAGAUAUAAAAUUUUAAUUUUAGCCAUUUCUUCAUCCGACAAAGUGAUAGUAACAUUGUUCAAAAAAUUUACAUAUCUCUCUUAUAAUUUAUAAAACCAUAUGAGAUAUAUGUUAAAUUGGUGAACAAUAUUAUUAUAACUUUGUCGGAUGAAGAAAUGACUAAAAUAAAAGUUAUAGGUCUUGAUGACUUAUACAACUUUGUUGUUUUUGUUGUUGAUGACUUUUUCAGUUGAAAUU
rnacentral:pre_miRNA from 2 species